rnacentral:rRNA from 1 species
AAAUAAUAUAAUUAAAAUUAAAUAGUUAAACUUUAUUUAAUAUUUAAAUUAAAUAAAAUAAUUAAUUAGGUGAAAUUAUUAAUUAUAAAAUUUAAUUAAUAUAUAGGUAUAUAGGUUAAAAAUUUAAUUUAAAAACUAGGAUUAGAUACCCUAUUAUUAUAAAUGUAAUUAUUAUACUUAAUUAGUAAAAGUUAAGAUCUUAAAAAUUAAAAAAUUUGGCAGUAUUUUAAUUUUUUCAGAGGAACCUGCUUCAUAAUUGAUAUCCCACAAUUAGAAUAAUUUUUUUUUAAUUUAUAUAUCAUUGUAGUUUGAGUAUAUUUUUAGAUUAUAUUCAAAAUUUAAAAUUAUAAAAUAAAUCAGAUCAAGAUGUAGUGUAUAGGAAAAAGAGAGUGGGUUACAUUAAAUUUAUUUAAAGAUAAUAAAAUUUAAAAAAUUUGAAUUUGGAUUUGAUAGUAAAAUUAAUUAUAUAAUUAAUUUAAUUAUAUUUUUAAAAU